AUGAUUUUGGAAUUUAAUUAUAAAACCUGCUUCAUUCCAUGUCUGCUGCCUUUAGUUAAUUUUCAUCCCAAGCUAACUCUGCUGUUGCUAAGCCUUCCAGGAGAGAAACUCGUGUUUCUAAGGGCCCUUGCUGUUGACACAGCAGGACUUCGGCUGAAAACUAAUCUGAUGUGAAGGCUGGGUCUGGAGGACACCCUGGUGCAUGUUGCCGUGCCCCUGGCUGCUAGGUCAGAGCACAUUCUGGAGCUCAGCACUGCGGAUAAGGGUUGCAAUUGUGCUGGUGUUGUGGGUGGUGAGACACAGGCUGUUCCUAUGGCAUGGGGGAGGGAUGGGAGGUGGAGGAGCUUGGGCGGGGGGAGGCGGGCUGGGUUUGCUGCUGCUCCCAGGGUGCUUAAUUGCGGUGGCAUACAUGGUGAUAAGCUGCUGAGCUGCCUUUCAUCAGCCAGGAAACCCAGCAUGUGAAAAAAUCCAGUGUGUCAUUGUCUGCUUGCAUAGCUGGCUGCCUGACCCACCAGCGUGCACGCAGGGCCCGGAAAAGAAAAGCAAACCCACGGCCAGAAUUGGCAGUGCAGGAGCCGCUGGCCAUCGUGCUGCCUGGCUGAGAGAGGUGCAAGUCUCAGGCCAGCAGAGAUGUUCCUCAGUACCUGUUAUUUCUGAUCCUGGCUCAGCCACAGACAUCACUCUAAAGAGAAAUGUUCCAUCAUUUGCUGGGAGCUGCUGACACACUGAAAGCAGAUACCAGCUUCUUCUCAAGUCAAGGGCAAGGUUGUGAUGGACUUCAGCAGGUGAAAGCCUGGGCCUUUAGCUACUGUGGUCACAUACCAGAAACGAGAAGAACAGAAUCACCUCCGUGGGACACGAGGGCACCUUUGAAAUCCAUUAUCCACCGUAAAACCCAGCCGGUCUGGCAGCACAGCUGCAGGCACGCCAGUCGCACAACGACAGAUUGAGUUACCAGAAAUUAGGCUUGGAGUUACCAGACUUACCCUGAGCGUGGCUAAAUUGCAGGAAGGACUUUCAACAUCAGCCCUGGCAAUGCUGGGAAGAGAAUCUUGCUACAAAUCAUGCUGUGCCAAGAGAACUCGCUCGACCCCAGCAAGCUAGAGAAUUGUGCAAGAGUUGCUACAAAUAUAUAAUGUCACCGGAGAGCAGUUUUAUGUCCUGAGUGGUAGGGAAAAUUUUGUGAGAGCAUUAGUGGUAGCACUUAGAUGGGCCCAGCUCCUACAGUGCUGCUCCCAGUGAGCAACCUGUGCUUCCCUGCAGUGCGUCUUCCCCUGCCGUGCAGGAGCAUCGCUCCCCAGGCAGCGCGGCUGAGGAUUUGAGCUGAUGAGACUUACUCGUGCUCAGAUCAGUGAUGCUUCAGAGACGUGUAUUUCCUCCAUCAGCACUAAAACCACUCAAGCCCUUCACUUGGGCUUGCCCCAGGAGCAUCAGCGAUUGCUCCCCGCUGGUCCCCCCAUCCCCACCUGCUGCAUCGCUCGCACUGCCUGCCCCCCAGGCUGUAAGCCCUGGAGUCAAAGGCUGGGCUGCAGCUGCUGCAGGCUCGGUGCCCCGGGUCUCCGGAUAUCACCCAGGGAUUUCCUUUAGGUAAAGAGAUACGCUGACUGAAUUCCUUCUCCCUCCUUCAUCCUUUUCUGUUCCCUUGUCUUUUCUUCUUCCUCACGUUUUGAGGAAGCCUGUGAGCUGUGGGAGACCUGGGGGACAUUGAGCAGACAAAUACACAGUGAGGAGCCCAGGAUUUUGUGAAAUUGCUGGUGUCUGGCAGAUGGUUCCUACCGGGAGGGUUUGUUAUGAAUGAAGUGUGUGGGGAUUGUGAAGCCACAGCAGGGGGCAGUGCUAUAUGGUAAAUACAUGUAUAGGCUUUCAGACAUUUUGAGCAUGGGAAUUUUGAAAUUACAGAGCCAGAGACAGUAACCUGGAGUUUAAUUUCCCUCUUAUUCCCUGGCCAAGAAGCAGCACUUGCAACUUCAAGGGCUGGUGCACAACUGGCGCUGCAAACCUUAGUUUUGUUUCCAGCUAAAAUGCAUGCUUGAUUUUGAGGUUGAAGGAAAUAAUCGAGAUGUUUCAGUGUUUAAAUCCAUGCAUAUACUUUCCCAGCUGUAUUUGCAGUCACUUUUGGCCCGAAAUACCUUCGACCACUUCUAGAAAGGAAACUCCAACCACCAAGGAACCACCACAGCACCCUGAAGAGGGAGCCCUCGGCAGCCUGCAGCCUUUGUCAGCCAACACUGAGAGGACCACGCGCUACCCCAUGAGGGGCCACCUCAAUUAAAGCUUGAAACGACUGCCAGCCCUCCACUCGGCUCCAGCUUCAGCCCUUUUCCUGUGUUUACUACAGAGCACAUCCUGCCCCGACCCUAUCCAAACAGGACAGCGUCUCGCAAACAAACAGAGGGCCCCGAGGUCCCAGCCUUCUCUCCUCCCCGACUGCAGGCUCCAUCCCAAUUUGCAGCGGAACAGGCGGCCUCCAAGAGCUCAGCUGCAGUUUUCUCCUGCUGCUUAGGCAAACCAAAGGCUGUUGCUGGUCGAGGUAGAGAAAGUGGCCACUUUCCUGCAGUUUUGGAUGGUCUGCUCGCUGGGAAUCUCAGCUGGAGGCACUCUACUGGCUGAGACCUCCUCCUGCCAGCCUGUAGCAUGCAUGUGUGGACCUCCACCACGUCUCCUGCAAAUGCUGGGGUAAUGAGAAGGUUUUUGUAGCUCAUUGUUAUUGAUUUAUUCGCUUACACAUGUAAUACAAACAACAAUGAGAUUUCUCUCAUGGGU